UACGUAGGGUGCAAGCGUUGUCCGGAAUUAUUGGGCGUAAAGAGCUCGUAGGCGGUCUGUCGCGUCUGGUGUGAAAUCCCAUGGCUCAACUGUGGGCUUGCAUCGGGUACGGGCAGACUAGAGUGCUGUAGGGGAGACUGAAUUCCUGGUGUAGCGGUGGAAUGCGCAGAUAUCAGGAGGAACACCGAUGGCGAAGGCAGGUCUCUGGGCCUUACCUGACGCUGAGGAGCGAAAGCGUGGGUAGCGAACAGG
rnacentral:rRNA from 1 species